rnacentral:rRNA from 1 species
GACGAACGCUGGCGGCGUGCUUAACACAUGCAAGUCGAACGGAAAGGCCCUGCUUUUGUGGGGUGCUCGAGUGGCGAACGGGUGAGUAACACGUGAGUAACCUGCCCUUGACUUUGGGAUAACUUCAGGAAACUGGGGCUAAUACCGGAUAGGAGCUCCUGCUGCAUGGUGGGGGUUGGAAAGUUUCGGCGGUUGGGGAUGGACUCGCGGCUUAUCAGCUUGUUGGUGGGGUAGUGGCUUACCAAGGCUUUGACGGGUAGCCGGCCUGAGAGGGUGACCGGCAACAUUGGGACUGAGAUACGGCCCAGACCCCUACGGGAGGCAGCAGUGGGGAAUAUUGCACAAUGGGCGGAAGCCUGAUGCAGCAACGCCGCGUGCGGGAUGACGGCCUUCGGGUUGUAAACCGCUUUCGCCUGUGACGAAGCGUGAGUGACGGUAAUGGGUAAAGAAGCACCGGCUAACUACGUG